AUUGAACGCUGGCGGCAGGCCUAACACAUGCAAGUCGAGCGGAUGAAGGGAGCUUGCUCCUGGAUUCAGCGGCGGACGGGUGAGUAAUGCCUAGGAAUCUGCCUGGUAGUGGGGGAUAACGUCCGGAAACGGGCGCUAAUACCGCAUACGUCCUGAGGGAGAAAGUGGGGGAUCUUCGGACCUCACGCUAUCAGAUGAGCCUAGGUCGGAUUAGCUAGUUGGUGGGGUAAAGGCCUACCAAGGCGACGAUCCGUAACUGGUCUGAGAGGAUGAUCAGUCACAAUGGAACUGAGACACGGUCCAGACUCCUAAGGGAGGCAGCAGUUGGGAAUAUUGGACAAUGGGCGAAAGCCUGAUCCAGCCAUGCCGCGUGUGUGAAGAAGGUCUUCGGAUUGUAAAGCACUUUAAGUUGGGAGGAAGGGCAGUAAGUUAAUACCUUGCUGUUUUGACGUUACCAACAGAAUAAGCACCGGCUAACUUCGUG
rnacentral:rRNA from 1 species